GUGUCAGCAGCCGCGGUAAUACAGAGGGUGCGAGCGUUAAUCGGAGUUACUGGGCGUAAAGGGCGCGCAGGCGGUUGGACAAGUGGGGUGUGAAAUCCCCGGGCUUAACCCGGGAACUGCAUUCCGGACUGUCUGGCUGGAGUACUGUAGAGGGCAGUGGAAUUUCCGGUGUAGCGGUGAAAUGCGUAGAGAUCGGAAGGAACACCAGUGGCGAAGGCGGCUGCCUGGACAGAUACUGACGCUGAGGCGCGAGAGCGUGGGGAGCAAACAGGAUUAGAUACCCCGGUAGUCC
rnacentral:rRNA from 1 species